rnacentral:rRNA from 1 species
UACAGAGGUCCCAAGCGUUGUUCGGAUUCACUGGGCGUAAAGGGUGCGUAGGUGGUCGGGUAAGUCUGAUGUGAAAUCUCCGAGCCUAACUCGGAAACUGCAUCGGAUACUAUUCGGCUUGAGGGUUGGAGGGGGGACUGGAAUACUUGGUGUAGCAGUGAAAUGCGUAGAUAUCAAGUGGAACACCAGUGGCGAAGGCGAGUCCCUGGACAACUCCUGACACUGAGGCACGAAAGCGUGGGGAGCAAACAGG